rnacentral:rRNA from 1 species
UACGAAGGGGGCUAGCGUUGCUCGGAAUGACUGGGCGUAAAGGGCGCGUAGGCGGAGUGCUUUGUCGGGCGUGAAAUUCCAGGGCUCAACCUUGGGGCUGCGUUCGAGACGGGUGCUCUUGAGUUUGGAAGAGGGUCGUGGAAUUCCCAGUGUAGAGGUGAAAUUCGUAGAUAUUGGGAAGAACACCGAUGGCGAAGGCAGCCAUCUGGACCGACACUGACGCUGAGGCGCGAAAGCGUGGGGAGCAAACAGG